rnacentral:rRNA from 1 species
UGGGGAAUAUUGGACAAUGGGCGAAAGCCUGAUCCAGCCAUGCCGCGUGUGUGAAGAAGGUCUUCGGAUUGUAAAGCACUUUAAGUUGGGAGGAAGGGCAUUAACCUAAUACGUUAGUGUUUUGACGUUACCGACAGAAUAAGCACCGGCUAACUCUGUGCCAGCAGCCGCGGUAAUACAGAGGGUGCAAGCGUUAAUCGGAAUUACUGGGCGUAAAGCGCGAGUAUGUGGUUUGUUAAGUUGGAAGUGAAAUCCCCGGGCUCAACCUGGGAACUGCAUUCAAAACUGACUGACUAGAGUAUGGUAGAGGGUGGUGGAAUUUCCUGUGUAGCGGUGAAAUGCGUAGAUAUAGGAAGGAACACCAGUGGCGAAGGCGACCACCUGGACUAAUACUGACACUGAGGUGCGAAAGCGUGGGGAGCAAACA